AUUAAACGCUGGCGGCAUGCCUUACACAUGCAAGUCGAACGGUAACGGGCCUUCGGGUGCCGACGAGUGGCGAACGGGUGAGUAAUGCAUCGGAACGUACCUUUCAGUGGGGGAUAACGUAGCGAAAGUUACGCUAAUACCGCAUAUUCUGUGAGCAGGAAAGCAGGGGAUCGCAAGACCUUGCGCUGAUUGAGCGGCCGAUAUCAGAUUAGCUAGUUGGUGAGGUAAAGGCUCACCAAGGCGACGAUCUGUAGCGGGUCUGAGAGGAUGAUCCGCCACACUGGAACUGAGACACGGUCCAGACCCCUACGGGAGGCAGCAGUGGGGAAUUUUGGACAAUGGGGGCAACCCUGAUCCGGCCAUGCCGCGUGAGUGAAGAAGGCCUUCGGGUUGUAAAGCUCUUUUGUCCGGAACGAAACGGGUAGCGUGAAUAUCGCUGCCUACUGACGGUACCGGAAGAAUAAGCACCGGCUAACUACGUGCCAGCCGCCGCCGUAACAC
rnacentral:rRNA from 1 species